GCUUGGCAGGGUGGUAUGUGCUUGUAGUCCCAGCUACUUGCCAGAUCACUUGAGCCUUGGAGUUCUGGGACACUCUGCCAUCAGGGUGUCAGUACCAAGUCUGGCAUUAGUAUGGUGACUUCUCAGAAAGCAGGGGACCCUCAGGUUGCUUAAGAAGGGGUGAACCUGCUCAGAUCUGAAGUGGAGCAGGUCAAAAUUCCUGUGAUGCUCAGUGGUGGGAUUGCACCUGUAAAUAGCCUCUACACUCCAGCCUGGGCAACAUAGUGACACU
rnacentral:SRP_RNA from 1 species